rnacentral:rRNA from 1 species
CCUACGGGAGGCAGCAGUGGGGAAUAUUGGACAAUGGGCGAAAGCCUGAUCCAGCAAUGCCGCGUGAGUGAUGAAGGCCUUAGGGUUGUAAAGCUCUUUUACCAGGGAUGAUAAUGACAGUACCUGGAGAAUAAGCUCCGGCUAACUCCGUGCCAGCAGCCGCGGUAAUACGGAGGGAGCUAGCGUUGUUCGGAAUUACUGGGCGUAAAGCGUACGUAGGCGGUUAUUCAAGUCAGAGGUGAAAGCCUGGAGCUCAACUCCAGAACUGCCUUUGAAACUAGAUAGCUAGAAUCACGGAGAGGUUAGUGGAAUUCCGAGUGUAGAGGUGAAAUUCGUAGAUAUUCGGAAGAACACCAGUGGCGAAGGCGACUAACUGGACGUGUAUUGACGCUGAGGUACGAAAGCGUGGGGAGCAAACAGGAUUAGAUACCCUGGUAGUCCACGCCGUAAACGAUGAUAACUAGCUGUUCGGUCUCUACGAGACUGAGUGGCGCAGCUACGACAUUAAGUUAUCCGUCCGUCGGGUAGGUACGGUCGCGAAGAAUUAAAACUAACAAUAGAAGUUAGACGGCGUGAGACGUCGCCGACGGACGACGACGAGGGAGGUUAGG